rnacentral:rRNA from 1 species
AUACGGGGGGUGCAAGCGUUGUCCGGAAUCAUUGGGCGUAAAGGGUUCGUAGGUGGAAUUAUAAGUCUGGUGUGAAAGCCCACAGCUCAACUGUGGAACUGCACUGGAUACUGUUUUUCUUGAGUUAUAGAGGGGUUUGUGGAAUUUCUGGUGUAGAGGUGAAAUUUGUAGAGAUCAGAAAGAACACCGGUGGCGAAGGCGACAAACUGGCUAUUAACUGACACUGAGGAACGAAAGCGUGGGGAGCGAACUGGAUUAGAUACCCUUGUAGUCC